UCUGACAUGGGGAAUAGAGGGGUGUGUGGGAGGGACGGCAGGAUGGGCCUGUCUGACACAGGUAGGGUGACCAGACAGCAAAUGUGAAAAAUUGGGACAGGGGAUGGGGGGUAAUAGGAGCCUAUAUAAGAAAAAGACCCCAAAAUCGGGACUGUCCCUAUAAAAUCCGGACAUCUGGUCACCCUAGACAGGGAGGCGCAGUCUGGGGCUGGGGGUCUCUGACACAGCGCAGCCCUGUGUGUGCAGGAUCAAGUUCCUAGUGAGCACUGAAGAGCUGUGUGGCCCAUGAGUUCUCUUUAACACUGGUCACGUCUACACUGAGAAAAGGCAUCAUGACUGUAAACGUGUUAACUAAUGUGAUGAUAAACUUAACUUAGUACCUAACCUAGCACAGAUGGAGACAAAAAUCUUAGGAAAGUCAAGUCCGAUCUUGCCUGGUUUUGCUGGAGGACUUUCAUGGAGGUUUCAGAAAAGGCCUUGAUUGUUUUGUCUGUAAUCAAAGAUGGAAAUAUACACAUGAGGAAAAAAACACUUUAAAUCUGCUUUGUCUGUAUUCAUAUGGAUGAAUCCAGGAUGUUCCAAGAAAACACAUCUGAUAAUUACUUGAAUUCAGUAGCCCCAAUUUGUGAAGAUGGUGCUUUCCAAAAGAAAGGGCACAGUGCAAGGACCCUUAGCCCUGAAGAAGCUGAGAAACUGGCAAGAGAUCAAGCCUUGGUGUCUGACUUCAAAAAACUGAAACUGGAGAAAGAUGCACAGAAGAACUGGGAUCUAUUUUACAAAAGAAACAGCACAAACUUCUUUAAAGACAGGCAUUGGACAACUAGAGAGUUUGAAGAUCUAAAAGCAUGCCGGGAGGUGAGCCAUAUACACUAGUUCUACAA